rnacentral:lncRNA from 1 species
AUGUGUAGAAGUCUGACUUGUUCCUUUUGUAUUUUAAUAAGAUAGAGGUGAGACAAUUUAUGUCCAUGGGCUUUGUGUGCUGUGUUUGUAACCUUUUUUUCUUGCUCUGGUGUUUAAUGGUUAUCUUUCCAGAAGACCAGUUUGUCUUGUCUAUGUCACAGCAAACAUCAAAGCCUUGGUCUUUGACUUGGGAAUGCAGGAGUCUUACUAGGUCCAGGCACUGACUAAGAUGCGAGGUAUCUGGUGAGACUCCCUCAUGCUCACUACUUGAACAUAGUUGUUUCUUUGAGAUCGUCUUAAAUCUUCAGUCCCACGCUCCAUAUGCCGCAUCCAGCAAAAGUCCCUGAGGGACUCACAGUCUCCAACCACCAGGGCACUGACAUUAACUCUAUGUCCUUUUAGGUUCCUCUGAGGACAGCCUGAGUUUAAAAUCUCUACCACCAAGUGAGGAAGACAAUGAUGAUGUCCAGAUAUUACCAUCACAUGUCCAGGGUACGUACCUUGAACUAACUCACUUUCUGAGAAACAAACUUGCUGGCUUUAUUAUUUUUAUUUUUUUAUUUUUUAUUUUUAUUUAUUUUUUUAUUUUUUUGAGACAGAGUCUCUCUCUGUCGCCCAGGCUGGAGUGCAGUGGCUCGAUCUCGGCUCACUGCAAGCUCCGCCUCCCAGGUUCACGCCAUUCUCCUGCCUCAGCCUCCCAUAUAGCUGGGACUACAGGUACCCACCACCGCUCCUGGCUAAUUUUUGUAUUUUUAGUAGAGACGGGUUUUCACCAUGUUAGCCAGGAUGGUCUCGAUCUCCUGACCUCGUGAUCUGCCCGUCUUGGCCUCCCAAGGA